rnacentral:rRNA from 1 species
AUGGGCGAAAGCCUGAUGCAGCGACGCCGCGUGGGGGAUGAAGCUUCUCGGAGUGUAAACCCCUUUCGACCCGGACGAAUGCCCCGCAAGGGGAGUGACGGUACGGGUAUAAGAAGCCCCGGCUAACUACGUGCCAGCAGCCGCGGUAAGACGUAGGGGGCCAGCGUUGUUCGGAAUUACUGGGUGUAAAGGGUUCGUAGGCGGUGUGGCAAGUUGGGAGUGAAAUCUCUGGGCUCAACCCAGAGGCUGCUUCCAAAACUGCUGUGCUGGAGUGUGGGAGAGGCGCGUGGAAUUGCAGGUGUAGCGGUGAAAUGCGUAGAUAUCUGCAGGAACACCCGUGGCGAAAGCGGCGCGCUGGACCACUACUGACGCUGAGGAACGAAAGCUAGGGGAGCAAACAGGAUUAGAUACCCUGGUAGUCCUAGCCCUAAACGAUCAGGACUUGGGGUGCCACCCGUUCGGGUGUCGUCCCGGAGCUAACGCGUUAAGUCCUGCACCUGGGGAGUAC